rnacentral:rRNA from 1 species
UACGUAGGGUGCAAGCGUUGUCCGGAAUUAUUGGGCGUAAAGGGCUCGUAGGCGGUUUGUCACGUCGGGAGUGAAAACUCAGGGCUUAACCCUGAGCCUGCUUCCGAUACGGGCAGACUAGAGGUAUGCAGGGGAGAACGGAAUUCCUGGUGUAGCGGUGAAAUGCGCAGAUAUCAGGAGGAACACCGGUGGCGAAGGCGGUUCUCUGGGCAUUACCUGACGCUGAGGAGCGAAAGCGUGGGGAGCAAACAGG